UACGUAGGGUGCAAGCGUUGUCCGGAAUUAUUGGGCGUAAAGAGCUCGUAGGCGGUCUGUCGCGUCGGCUGUGAAACCCUGGGGCUCAACCCCAGGCCUGCAGUCGAUACGGGCAGACUAGAGUCCGGCAGGGGAGACUGGAAUUCCUGGUGUAGCGGUGAAAUGCGCAGAUAUCAGGAGGAACACCGGUGGCGAAGGCGGGUCUCUGGGCCGGAACUGACGCUGGAGGAGCGAAAGCGUGGGGAGCGAACAGG
rnacentral:rRNA from 1 species